AUGAACGCUGGCGGAGUGCCUAAUACAUGCAAGUCGAGCGAACGGACGAGAAGCUUGCUUCUCUGAUGUUAGCGGCGGACGGGUGAGUAACACGUGGAUAACCUACCUAUAAGACUGGGAUAACUUCGGGAAACCGUAGCUAAUACCGGAUAAUAUUUUGAACCGCAUGGUUCAAAAGUGAAAGACGGUCUUGCUGUCACUUAUAGAUGGAUCCGCGCUGCAUUAGCUAGUUGGUAAGGUAACGGCUUACCAAGGCAACGAUGCAUAGCCGACCUGAGAGGGUGAUCGGCCACACUGGAACUGAGACACGGUCCAGACUCCUACGGGAGGCAGCAGUAGGGAAUCUUCCGCAAUGGGCGAAAGCCUGACGGAGCAACGCCGCGUGAGUGAUGAAGGUCUUCGGAUCGUAAAACUCUGUUAUUAGGGAAGAACAUAUGUGUAAGUAACUGUGCACAUCUUGACGGUACCUAAUCAGAAAGCCACGGCUAACUACGUG
rnacentral:rRNA from 1 species